rnacentral:rRNA from 1 species
AUUGAACGCUGGCGGCAGGCUUAACACAUGCAAGUCGAACGAGUGGCGGACGUGUGAGCAAUGCUUCGUAAUCUGGCUUAUUGAGGGGGAUCACUACGGGUAACUGUUGCUAAUACCUCUUUCCAUGGGCUGAGUCCAAGUGGGAUUAGGUAGUUGGUGAGGUAAAGGCUCACCAAGCCGACGAUCUCUAGCUGGUCUGAGAGGAUGACCAGCCACACUGGGACUGAGACACGGCCCAGACUCCUACGGGAGGCAGCAGUGGGGAAUAUUGCGCAAUGGGGGCAACCUGACGCAGCCAUGCCGCGUGAAUGAAGAAGGCCUUCGGGUUGUAAAGUUCUUUCGGUAGCGAGGCGUUAACUACAGAAGAAGCACCGGCUAACUCCGUGCCAGCAGCCGCGGUAAUUC